UACCAGCACCCCGAGUGGUCGGGACGAUUAUUGGGCCUAAAGCAUCCGUAGCCGGUCCUGCAAGUCUUCCGUUAAAUCCAGCUGCUCAACAGAUGGGCUGCGGGGGAUACUACAGGGCUAGGAGGCGGGAGAGGCAAGCGGUACUUUAUGGGUAGGGGUAAAAUCCGUUGAUCCAUAGAAGACCACCGGUGGCGAAGGCGGGUCUCUGGGCCGAUACUGACGCUGAGGAGCGAAAGCGUGGGGAGCGAACAGG
rnacentral:rRNA from 1 species